GUGCUGCUUAGUCUUUAGUUUUCUGUGUUGUUUCACUGUGUACUAUUAUUUGUCUGUUUGUCUUUUUCUUUUUUAGCCAUGGCUUUGUCAGUUUAUCUUCGAUCUAAGAGUUUGUAUUGAUUUUCCUUCUGGUAUCUUUCGCCCCUCUUUUAUAUCACAUAAUAAACGAAAAUUGUAGCUUUGUACACUCAUUCGUUUACACAACCCUCACUGAUAUGUUUUUGUUUAUGACUUGCGUUCGUUCUUCCAAAAGAGCUUGUCAGAGUAGAUAACUUUUUUCAAAGAUUUCAAGCUGUUAUGCCAGGGAGUGCCUUUAAAUGUGGUCUGCUGCUUGAUAAUGCUAUGUUGUAGCAAUUGCUACAUAUUUCCUGUUGUCCGAUAAUUUGAAACUUAUUGCACAAGGAUAAUGUUCGUCAAACGUUUCGUAGCUGCUAUGGAACAUAAUGAAUUUUCAUUUAGUCUGCAGAUGGAUAAUAUUGAGUGGUAGCGUGUGUAAAUAAAUACAUGUAACGUGUGCCCUGUCACCAAUUCCUGUUUGCUGGUUUAAUUUUAAAAUUGAUUGCGAUACUUUUUGUGCAAGAAUGGUUUUAGUCAAACUUCAGUUGGCUUCUAUAAAAGGGAUUACUUUACAUAUUAGGUGACCAGCUUGAUCAUGAUAAUGUUGAGUUCUAGCGUGUCAGAAAACGACUAUUAGUAC
rnacentral:lncRNA from 1 species